rnacentral:ncRNA from 2 species
UUGAACCUUCGGGGCAGGGUGUAAUUCCCUACCGGCGGUGAGGAUACGUAAGUAUCUGAAGCCCGCGACUCCUAGCCUGUAUAGACUGGGACUGACUUGGUGAAACUCCAAGGCCGACGGUAUAGUCCGGAUGAGAGAAGGUGAAG